GGAGAGAGGCUACAGCCAGAUCCAGGUCCAGGCAGAGAAGCAGGUCAUUGCUAAAGAGGUCCAAAAUUAGCUCAAGAGGAAAUGUUAUAAACAUUUCAGGUAUCUGACCAUUGUGAAAAGAUGGUCAGACCUGAAGAGACGCAACACUGAUCGGAUCAAAAGGAUCCGGAACCAACAUUUCCUAGAGGCUCAACUUCCACUUGCUGUAUGGCGGCAGAGGAGAGCAGCCAACGAGAUGGAGGUGGUGGUAAUGUCGGGAGAGGAGGAGGAUGAUGAUGGAGAAGGAGACCCUCCCAUCAGGAACCUGCUCCAGCAACACCACCUGAUUUCUCUUGAAAUUGCAAAAUAAACUUGAGGAGCUGCUGCGGAAGAAUGAGAAGGGGAUGGCCUCUAUAGAGAGCCAGCAGCGGAAAAUAGCACAGCAGCAGGAGAGGCUACAUCAGCAGCAGGAGAGGCUACACCAGCAGCAGCUGCGUCAGCAGAAUAAUGUAGAGACGCUCAAGGAGAAGCAGGAGAAAGCCAUGCAAGAGCUGAAUGCAAUACACAAUAAGCUGAAACGCUGCCUUAAAGCAUGUUUAUAUUGUGUAUCAUGUUAUUUUUGUUUUUCUA